rnacentral:rRNA from 1 species
AUUGAACGCUGGCGGCAUGCCUUACACAUGCAAGUCGAACGGCAGCGGGGACUUCGGUCCGCCGGCGAGUGGCGAACGGGUGAGUAAUGUAUCGGAACGUACCAUUCAGUGGGGGAUAACUAUCCGAAAGGGUAGCUAAUACCGCAUAUUCUGUGAGCAGGAAAGCAGGGGAUCGCAAGACCUUGCGCUGAUUGAGCGGCCGAUAUCAGAUUAGCUAGUUGGUGAGGUAACGGCUCACCAAGGCUACGAUCUGUAGCGGGUCUGAGAGGAUGGUCGGCCACACUGGGACUGAGACACGGCUCAGACUCCUACGGGAGGCAGCAGUGGGGAAUUUUGGACAAUGGGCGCAAGCCUGAUCCAGCCAUGCCGCGUGAGUGAAGAAGGCCUUCGGGUUGUAAAGCUCUUUCGGCCGGGAAGAAAUCGCAUCAGCUAAUACCUGGUGUGGAUGACGGUACCGGAAUAAGAAGCACCGGCUAACUACGUGCCAGCCGCCGCAGUAACAC